GGAAGGCCACAAGCUUCCGUGGCCCCAGCGGCCGGCGGCGGUGGCGAGGGCUCUUCGGGGCCAGCGUGAAGCCGGGCCCCCGCUCGGCGUCCAGGAUGGGUCCGGCCCUGCCGUGCGCACAGCCGACGGCGAACGCCGAAGCUGCGGCUCCCGGAGGCUGGACGGGCCACCAAGCUGCGCGGUGUGCGUGCACGUAUGCGGGUGAGCAGGAGGCCGCACCUGUUACAGACCAGCAACGCGCACCCUGGCUCCAUUUUAACACAACUUGCUGCUCCGGGACAUCAAAGCUCUCCCGGCACGGGUGGAUUUUCACUUAAGCAGCACUUUUCCCCAAGGGAGGGGGAGCAGGACCACGCCGGGGCCCUAGCCCAUACGGUGAGGCCUCCCACCUGCUUCGGGCUGACCACAGGGCCGGCGGGGGCCCCGGCCCAAGACACCCACACUUCCAGAAGGCCCGUGCCCAACGCCCACCCACCACGCACACCCACACGGCCCCUUCUUGUGAUCCCAGGGCCCACACCUGGCCCUGGCCUUCCCCUCAGCUGCCCUCUGACCCCUCCACCUCCCCAGUCCCCCCAGGGAAUCGGCCUGGCCUGAACUCCCAGCCCGUCCCUCCAGAGCCCGGCGACGUCCACCCACACGGAGCCCGAAGGACUCACUUCCAGCCCCACAGGAGUUACCACCAACCCCACGGGGAACCCCGGAUCUGACCCAGGGCACAGCAGACUCCCCUCUCCUCCUGGGCCCACCGCCCUCCUCCUUCCUCCCUCCUCACGUGCCCACAUCUGCCGCCCGCCCUGCAGCAGGAGGCCCCCUCGACCCCGAGGCCCCAGUUCCCUCCUGAGCCCCCCGCCUGCAGCCCCCCCGCCCCUGCCUGCUGCCAGGAAGCCACGCCCAAGCCCCUUCCAAGGCCGCCCUGACGCUGGACCCCCGCCCCUGGCACCACCGCCUCUCGCCCCAGGGCUACCCCCUCAGGGGCCAGCUGGGCCAUUGGCCUCGCAGAGGCUGGGGCCCCCAUCCUGUGGCUGCACAGCCUUGGGCACAUCUCCUGACCCCUGCACGCCUCAGUUUCCUCAUCUGUAGAGUGGGGCCACGGCAGAGGCUCCGCUGGGCUGCGGCUGGCGGCAAGCACCCACGGCUUAGCCCAGGGCCGGCUCCAGACGAGCCCUUGAGACGGAGGAAACGCAGGUGCAUCGGAGCACGAACUCCCCCAUCACCUGGAUCCGCAGCCAAGUGUUGCCUGCACCGCCGCCAGGGCCCGCAAGGGCACGGCGCCGUGAGCUCCCUCCCAGGUCACUGCAGUCGCCACGGGUGCCAGACCACCUUCCGUGGGCCUGAGGCUGAGAGGCGGGCCCGGCAGUGCAGCGAUGGGCCUGUGGAGGCGAGGGCCUGCGCUCCCUGGCCCACCUGGGAGGGGAGAGGGCACAGGGCUGGGGGUCAGAGCGACUCUGGUCCCCGCAUGUACGGCCAACCUGCAGGCGUCUGUGGGUGCCGGUGGCCACAGGGGCCUCCGUCGUGGUCAGCGGCUGUGGAGGUGACAAGGGGCAGCUUGCAGCGUCUGUCCUCUGCGUCUGCCACGGUGCCGCUCAAAACGCACCCAGGCACAUCGCGACGUGCCGAGGGGGUGGAGUACAGCGGGCGGCACGGAAGGACAGGUGGGAGGUGUCCCAGGACCGCACGGGGUGAGGGGUGGGACACGUUACUGAAGCCGUUUCAGCUCCUCCUCCGUCCUGUUCCACUGUGGCUCCCAGACAACUGGGACCACGUGCUCUCAUGGGCUCGAUCCUGCAAGACGCACUCUGGUCACGCUUCUGCUCGAGUUUUACACAUUCUUCUCAGUUUGUAAGACUUCUUCAUGAAGUUUCUCAAGACCGCACCUUUACAGAGUCAGCUCCAUCGCCCUUUCCUCAGUGACCCCUUCAGCCAUCGGGAACUCCGAAGCGCCGCCCCGUGCACCCAGAGAAGACACGAUGUGGCUCGUCCCCCUCCCCAGCGCUCCCUGCACAUGGGGGACAGGCCGGGCAGCAGGGCCCGCUCAGCUCACCGCGGUCCGGCGGGCACUGGCGUCCACGGUGCACAGCGGCCGGCGGCCAGGGCCCAAAGGCCACGCAGGGUGCUGGCACGUGAGAGCAGCGACUCUGUCCCUCCUUAGGCCUUCGUGGUCCUCAGGCCCCGGAGGGGUGGCGCGAGGGUCUGAGCUGCAGGCUGUGUCCACAGACGUUCACAAAGAAACGUCCUCAGGAGGUGAGGCCUGUCAUCAGCUCUGGAUCUGAGAGUGCCUUCUAGAGCAGCGCUCACCCAGGCCCGAGGCCCUCCCCGGAGCGCCCUCCCCGGAGCGGGAACUGCGGGUCCACAGGGCACGUGACCCACAGGACAGCAAUGGCGAGGGUCUCCACUGCACCAGCAACGCAGCCCCCGGGCACGCGGACCGUCCGUAUCCCGACCGUGUCCGUCCCCGUCUGCUCGCCCCACACCCAGCUUCUCCCAACCAGCUGCUGCAGCCGAUGGCCUCCACGAGCGACCUCACCGAGGGCCAGAGGGCAGAGGGCCUGGGCCGUGUCGUGGGAACCCUGGUGCCCGAGCCCCAGCCCCAGCCCUGAGCCUGCUCCCUGAGCGGAGUCUUGCCACUCGCCGUGACUCCCACUUCUUCCAGCUGACAAGCAGCUCUGGGGUUUGGCCAGUUCCUAAUUAUGAUAAAUCCUAAUUCCUCCAUUUUUUUCUCUUAUGAAUGAUGCUUUCGGUGUGUCUAAGACAUCGCUGCCUAAUUCAGGAUCACAAGGGUUUUCUCCUAAGAUUUCUUCUAGAACUUCUAUGAUUUUAAGUUUUGUAUUUAGGUCCGCAGCUUACUUUAAUCUCCGUGUGGGGUGCCAAGUACAGAAAUUCUGCAUCUGCAGGUGGACAGACGGACACCAAUUUCCCAGCACCGUCUGCGGAACACACGUCCCGUCCCCUCACGAACUGCAGUCAGCCCUCGUCCCCUGCCUGCCGUGCUCCCGGGUCUCUGGGUCCCUCUUCGGCUCCACUGAUGUGUAGCUCUGUCCCGACACAGAACACCGUCCCCACUGCUACGACUUUACAGUAAAUCCUCAGAUGAGACCGUGUCACGGGUCUCGGCGCGCCCCUGCCACGCCCCGGCCUCGUCCCUCGCUCCAGCACGACCGUCAGGGUCACAUGCGACCUGUCCCACUGUGCACAGCGAACAGGAGGGAGAUGCUUCCACUCAGCCCCGUGUGCUGCCGACUGAACACCUGGGCUCACAUUAGCAAGGCCUCCGCGGACUCCCCAUGGCGCCCCAGCAGCCCCUCGCACCUUCACCCACACACGCGGUUUUGUUCCUUCCUUUCCUUUCCUCUCCUUGUCUGUCUGCACCUGCCAGGACCCCCGGGGCCACAGGGAGCGGGAGGGGGCCGCCAGCGCUGGCGCGGGCUGAAGACCCCCACAACCCGGGACAGGUCCCUCACUUCUUCGUUUCCUGAGACUUCUCAUCAGAAAUGGUUCUAGAAUUUUGCCAGAUGCUUUGUCUGCGUAUAUGGAGAUGAUUGUUGGCUUUUCUUCAUUAAUCUGUCGACGCAGAUUUUAUUGAUUGAUUUCCGAUCUCCAUUUGCUGACGAUGCGCUGCCCUCUGAUACGUAGUGUUUAUGCGGCACGCGUACGCGUGUGACGGGGUCGCGUGCACCGGUCCACACGGUGGAAGUCAGCGUUUUCUCCUUCGCGCGUGUGGGCGACGUGGUGCGUGUACUUCUCAGGACUAAAGCCUCCGCCUGCCGUGGUGUUGGGACUGGCGUCGCAGGAAGAGGAGGCAGCAGCGCCUCCUGGAAGUUUCUGAACAACUGUGAUUGUUUCCUGCUCAAACAUGUGACGGAACUGACCGGGGAAGCCACACGGUCCUGGAGUUCUUUGUUGCGAAGAGCUGGGCAAAUUUUAAUUUUAAUUUAACAGAAAGAGAGCUACUGAAUUCACUUCUUGACCGUAAGCUUUGAAGCUGGACUUAUUUACCAAUAUGUUCCUUUCAUAUAAAAGAUAAAUUUAUUAGCAUAAAGUUGCUUAUGAUACUC